rnacentral:rRNA from 1 species
GACGAACCGUGCGAACGUUGUUCGGAAUCACUGGGCUUAAAGGGCGCGUAGGCGGGCUGCCAAGUCAGGGGUGAAAGCCCACGGCUCAACCGUGGAAGUGCCUUUGAUACUGGCGGUCUCGAGGGAAGUAGGGGCGUGCGGAACUUCCGGUGGAGCGGUGAAAUGCGUAGAUAUCGGAAGGAACACCGGGUGGCGAAAGCGGCGCGCUGGACUUCUACUGACGCUGAGGCGCGAAAGCCAGGGGAGCAAACGGG